UUCGUUUUGUGUCACAUAUUAGGAACAAACAAGGUCCAUGGGAAGGGUGUGUGGUAUCAAUGUUGUUAAAACUUCAAAUGCCAUUGAAUGAUUGUGAUUAUGAGAAUAAUUUUAAAUUUUUUGUUAUGCCUAUAAAACCCCACCUUGAACCGUUAACGUUUGUUGAAUUGAAUCUUUAACAAUUUGGAUCAAUGGUUCAAAACAUCCAAUCCAAGCACGUACAACUUACAACUAUGUUCUUGUCCUUUUGGGAGGAUCAAUAAACCUUACAAUACGAUACGCCCAAAGUGCUACUGUAGAUUGCACAUUUGGGUGUUUUGCGUAACCGCUUUCCUUCUUCCGUUCCCUUUUCGCCUUUUGCCAGCCGGUUGCUUUUCCGCUUUCCCUCCGCCAGCCUUUUGGUCCGCCAGCCUUUUAGUCUUCAGGCUUUUCAAUCUUCCUUUUGCGUUUUGUUUGUCCUGGUGCGUCCUUGUUUUUGCUAUAUAUAUGGCUUCGUUUCUGGUGGUUUUCUCAUCAUCUCACUCUCUCCUCUUUUUGUUUCUUCCUGUAUUCGUUUUUGCUAUGCAAUCGGUGAUGGCUUUUAGGUCUGGGUUUGAUUGUUUGUCCGAUGUUGUUCCUGGGAGAACUGCUUGGGGGUUCAAGAUCCGGAUUUCUAAGCUUUUGGAGGUUCAAGAUCCAGAUUUCUAAGCUUUGGGAGGUUGUUUUAUUCUACUUCGGUUGAAAUGGUUCUUGUUGAUACUAAGAGGAGUUUAUGUCCGACCUAUUUGUGCAUACAAGAUUAACUUUCGUUUCAGACUGCAGUUAACAUGACGAUCGAGUUGCGCUUCCAUGGUUAAAGUUACACUAUAGACCAUCUGGUACCAUUCUUGCUUUUGAUUGUUUGCUCUAAAUCUCCAGGUACGUCACGUCGUUUGGGUUAUUCAUUCAUUCAUUCAUUCUUCAAUCUGAUAGAAAAUCAUGAAAUUUAUCAGAGUAUUUAUGUUUGUAUUUCGUAUACCUUGAACUGUGUCGCGGUCUUCUAAGGAGAAGAGUUCAGAUGCCUACAAUGAUUUGCAAGGCACUGCUGGUUGGAAACUUUCAAAUAGUCCUUGGAAUUUGCAAGUUGUUGCUCGCGCUUCAGGCUCACUAACACGUUUCAUGCCAGACGAUAUUCCCGGUGUUACUUCACCUAUGAUAUACAUUGGCAUGUUGUUCAGUUGGUUUGCCUGGCAUGUAGAGGAUCAUGAGCUUCACAGCUUGAAUUUUCAUCACACUGGCUCAUCUAAGACUUGGUAUUCUGUUCCUGGAAAUUAUGCCUUUGCUUUUGAGGAAGUCAUCCGUACAGAGGGUUAUGGUGGUGAUAUUGAUCAAUUAGCUGCUUUGAAACUUUUGGGCGAGAAAACAACUCUUUUAUCACCUGAGGUAAUUGUUGCAUCUGGGAUUCCUUGUUGCAGGUUAGUACAGAACCCUGGUGAAUUUGUGGUGACUUUUCCAAGAGCUUAUCAUGUAGGAUUCAGCCAUGGUAAUUGCUUUGAAGUUUAUGUACAUUCCUGAUAUUUUGCAUAAUACUGUUAAUGUUAUAGGUUUUUACUCUGUAUAUGAUGGAGUGAUAAUACAGACAUUUCUAUAAUGUGUGCUAUAUAGAGCUGUUUGACAUACGGUACAUGACAAAUCACAUACAUAUUCACGGUUUCAAUUAAAGUGCUCGUGGUUUGUAGAUUUUUUUUUAAUAUCUGUAUAUUCUGUGAUAUGCGAUAAGAAGAAUUAGGAGACAACUUUUAUUGGCCAAUGGCCUUCAAAUUCUGAAAGCAAAUGGUUAAAAGUAGAAUGUGUUGGUCAUUUAUAUAUCCUCUAGCCAGUUAGUGUUUAAUCAAAACUGGUGGCAGAUCCAAUUUUUCUUUAUAACAAUACCAAUAUAUCCUUUAGGUGGGUGAAAUGGUAGAAUUCUUUAGGCACAACUUGUGAUCACAAAGUGGCUGUUAAACUAUUUUCAUCAGAUAGCUAUAAAACCAAUGAUGCUCCAUGGUAGCGAAUUUUGGGCUAUCUAGAUACUAGAUACUACCAUGCUACAAAACCAAUGAUGCUCCAUAGUAGUUACUAUUGUCACAAAGUUGCAAUUAUGGUAGCGAAUUUGCAUGGUAGUAUCUUUUAAACUAUUGUCAAAAAGUUGUCAAAGACGCAAUUCAAGUCGAAAAGUUGCAAUUAUGAUUCGGAAAGAUUGAGUUCUGAGGAUCAGGUUGUAGCUGGGAAUGGUUCUCGUAAUUCGAGAAUAUAUAGGUUUGUAUUUGGGCCAAGUUCUAAUGGUGAUGGUGAAGAUGCUGAUGGAGAUUUAGUGGAGCGUGCUGAGAUUGCAGCCAAGUUGUUGGAGUUAAGGUGGUCUACGAAUCUCACUUUUGAUGAACUUCCAUAUAGGGAAAGAAAGAAAACUCAGGGGGCUAACUUGGUCAAAGUGAAAUCCAAGUCUGAAUCUGGUGAGGUUUUGCGCCCCCGACAGAAUCAUCUGAGCAGGAGGAUUUCAAUUCAUGGAAUUUCUGGAAGUUGCCUUCUUUCGAAUAAAUAUUCUAGGAUUUUUUGGCAUUCAUUGCUCAAUCAUCUUUGUCUGGUGCGGAUGGAAGCAGGCUGUGCUGUUCCUUGUAAAACUAUAUAGGAAUUUUGUAGGAAGGAAAGAUGAUUGUAUCUAGACUUAGGUGGUUUGAGUGUAUGUAGUCAAUGACAGACACACUCUCCGGGAUUUCGGUACAACUCCUCCACGACUGCGCUAUGGCCGUUAUGUAGAUCCACUCUACCAUGGAGUUUUGCGUAGCACCAGACAUCCGCUACACCAUGCACCUCUGUGAAUACGGCCGCCACCACUGCUAUUGACUACAGAGGUUUGAGUAUGUGUGGAGGAGACCUGUAGAUUUAGUAGUAACAAGAGUAGAUCAGAUGGAGCACAACCUAAUGGCUACAAGGGAAGGCUGAGACAAACUAUAGGUGAAAUUAAGAAGAAAUACUUAGAUGCUAAUUGUGUGGCUGUCAACAUAAUUUAUAUGAUAAAACAUUAUGGCGUCGUUUUAUCUAAGUAUCUGACCUUACAUAGUAGGAUAAAGCUUUGAUUGUUGUUGAUAUUUCUGUUAGAUGUGUAUAGUGUGCGACUAAUUUUGAAUACGCCAUACACCAAAAUUAGAACUUACACCAUAAAAGAUGAUUUUCAUGUACUGGUCUUAAUAUCCUGGACUGGACUACUUGUAAAACAGUUAUGCAUAUUAAGACAUUUGUAUGCCAGCUUUGCAUCCACGUACAUGCUUCUUCAUUUUGAUAAACAUUGUUCAUAUAGGUGAUGUGUUGCUAAGCUCCAUGACAAGAGUAUCA